rnacentral:lncRNA from 1 species
AAAUUUCAAAAUACAAAAAAAAAAUAACACUCAUUCAAACCUUUUUAGGCCUUUUGUGCCUUUGUUAAACUUAAACUUUUGUUAAAAGCAACUCAUUCACUUUGAAAUUGUUACCACAAACUACGAGGUUUUGAUCCAUCAUUUUAUGUUGGUACGUAGGCACAAGUCCGAAGGUUUUGUCAAACACAAAAAUAUAACUAAUGAAUUCUUU